GACCUGCGGAGGAUCAUUACCUGGCCUUGGGCCGCUCAGGGGAGCCAGUCGCUUGCGACGACGCUGCCUUGGGCGCUUAGCCCUUGACUAUCACCUUGACUACGUGCACCUUUUGUUGUUUCCUCGGCAGGUCAUCUGCCGCCAGGAACCCCCCUAAACCUUUUUGCAUCAGCAUCUAAACUUCUGAAAACAAACCAAAUCAUUUACAACUUUUAACAAUGGAUCUCUUGGUUCUGGCAUCGAUGAAGAACGCAGCGAAAUGCGAUAAGUAGUGUGAAUUGCAGAAUUCAGUGAGUCAUCGAAUCUUUGAACGCACAUUGCGCCCCAUGGUAUUCCGUGGGGCAUGCCUGUUCGAGCGUCAUUUACCCCCUCAAGCUCCGCUUGGUGUUGGGCGUCUGUCCCGCUUCGCGCGCGGACUCGCCCCAAAGGUAUUGGCAGCGGUCGUGCCAGCUUCUCGCGCAGCACAUUGCGCUUCUCGAGGCACCGGCGGGCCCGCGUCCAUCAAGCUCACCCCCCCAGUUUGACCUCGGAUCAGGUAGGGAUACCCGCUGAACUUAAGCAUAUCAAUAAGCGGAGGA
rnacentral:rRNA from 1 species